AACGGUGAGUCAUCGAAUCUUUGAACGCACAUUGCGCCCAUUAGUAUUCUAGUGGGCAUGCCUGUUCGAGCGUCAUUUCAACCCUUAAGCCUAGCUUAGUGUUGGGAGACUGCCUAAUACGCAGCUCCUCAAAACCAGUGGCAGAGUUUUUACGUACUCUGAGCGCAGUAAUUCUAUUCUCGCUUUUGAACACGUCUAGACGAUAGCCAAAAACCGCUUGCUUCGGCAGCACUUUUUUAAUGGUUGACCUCGGAUCAGGUAGGAAUACCCGCUGAACUUAAGCAUAUCAAUAAGCGGAGG
rnacentral:misc_RNA from 1 species